UCGUCUUCAAUUAACUCUGGACAGAAUGGACAAACCCUCUGGUCGAUUGGGAUUUUUUUUUAAUCUCCCGGUUUCUAUUUAUACAUGUAUUCUGCUCAGCUGUGGUAUCAGUAUACCUUAGCUACUAUUCGCAAGCAACGCAUAGCCUAUAACAAUGCUCUCAAUAUUGUUAGACUAUAGAACGAGUGCUAGUGCUAGCCAGGUUUUUGUCUCACAUGGGGUUGAUGCUUGAGGCUAGGAGGAGAAAACUAACGCGUGUAUUUUAUACAAGGCAUCGCCGCAUCUGCAAAAAGAACAUCUUCCGCUUAUUCUAUUCAGACGCCUCCAUCCAUGUGCACAGUAUAUUCUGGACACACUACGUCAAUUAUCUACAAAAGCACCGGCUUAUCCCACUAAACUUUUCACUAUAUGUAAAUGACAGUUUAUUUGUAUUGCUGUAAUGUGUGUUUUUAUAUUUAUUGUACAUAUGAUAUAGGCCACGUGCCUGCAAUAAAGUUGAAAUAAAUUACCGCACCAACGACGGUCCAAACCUAACCGGGGUGAAUGUACGAUUGAAGUAAACCCCAUACAAAUGUGUUGUACUGUACAGUUAUUGUUUAUGAAAGCUGUAGUAAGAUUUGAAUCUGUCAUAUACGUGGAAUGAGAUACAUGUACAGUGCAAUCCGACACUACCUUGGAACGUUUGUAAUUACACUCGUAUUGUUCUGCAAUUGUGAAGUCACCAAUGUUGUGUUGUGUUGUGGGAGCAGACACUUGUCUAGUACUGAGACAGAAUGUAAAGACCUCUUGAUUUCUAAGGUUAGGGAAUUCAGUUCAGGAGAGACAAUAGAGAACUUAGAUUGCAAUAUUAUGACGUCUGUUAUAACGUUAAAAGUCUUCCGUACCCACCGUACGGAAACCCUUGUCUCUGCGUCAUUUCUUUAUCCUUCAUGUGCUGAUCUUCCAGUCUGGCCGGCCCGGGCUUUGAUUCCGGAAGCCAGGAGACUGUGAUACAGAUCGCAUCACAUCAACUAACAAAUCUAGACUAACACUCUAUUGUUGGGAAUCUCGUCUAACAGGAUCACAACAACAUGAUGCCCAGUGAGCCUGGUCGUCCUUUUGUGGACCUUACCGUCCAUCACGACAAGGUCACAACACCACCACACUAUUUAUUAACUUUCAUUUCUUCAUUCCAUAUCAUAAACAAAUAAAUCACAUCCCAACCACUUUGAAGUCAAACAUCAAAUCAAAUAACAAAUCUUGGCCAAUCACAUUCACGUCAUCGUUAACACGUCAAAAUCACAUUAAAAAACACCAUUCCACCUCAAACUAAUCAUUCAUUUAUGUGCGGUUUUCGUCCCUAUAUUUCCGACAAGUCGUAACAACAACCUCAUAACAUUUUUCGUCAUCGUUAACACGCCAUGCAGUUCAAUAGCUCAUUCCACAACCCUGAAAAAUCAGCCCUCAUACUUUUGUAUAAACCGGGCCAGGGCCGAACAAUUUAAAUAUUUACACAUGUCUUCAUCAUUCACCAUUGUCAUCAUUUGUAACAAAUCCCACGCUUCUUUCAUUCAAAGUAGUUGUAAUUGCAUCCGUCAUAUUGGCAUUCGCAAAUAAAAAUCCCACGUCUUUCAUUCACUAUCGUUAUAUCUGCAAUUAUAAAAAAAUCCCACAUUUCUUUUAUUCGCAAUCGUCAUAAUUUCAUUUUUGUGAAGAAAAGACUCGCGAAUUUACGAUCAUGUAUGGAGGCGUGGGUUUUUUUGGCCGUCAUCUCGUCAGGGAAUUUCCCAUGACUCAUGAUCAUGCAGGUGCAUGUUCAGACAGGACACAACUGUCACCGUAGACGUAGAGAAGCGUGUUUUGUGUUGCGUACACUGGACAAACUUAACGUCUUUUGUGUGAAAUGGAAGAUUCAAGACUAAAGAAAACUAAAGUGGCAGUUUUCAAAAAUUCGGAUGCACUUUCAGGAACAUCAAGUUUCCAAAUGACGCAUUUACACUCUUUAUCCAGGCCUGUCCUCGCGAUCGUCAGGCAGUUAUAGCUAAAUCAACUGUCUUGAAAGGCACAGAAAGCCGCCUUCCGUAUCAAAACUCUCAUUCAGACUGCGUUAUUCCCUAAGGCCCUACUUAAACUCGAUAAUGCAUGUAUCAAGUCUAUAAUGUUACAUGCUAUUGAGAUCUGAAGCAAAGAUCACUCAAAUGACAACUGCACUGUUGAAAUAUUAACAUAUAGAACCGCUUUUGUAAAAACACCGAUCCGAUAAGUUAAUGCACACAGAAAUUCGUGUAACCUAGCUAGUGUAACCUUGCCAGUGCGACUAUCAUAAUGGCUAUGAAUACAGAUCAUGUAAGAACUAACGUUAGGGUGUUUUUUAUACGUGUGUUUUACACAUGAUACUAGUAUUAGGCAUGUCAAACCUACCCCCUUGCCGCAUUAGAACGAAGCGGCCCGCGGGGCCGUAAAUGUAUUUAAAAAAAUCUUAAAAAUCAACCGCUUGAAUAAUGCCAAUCAAAAUCGUUGUCUAUAAUCUAUGGAAUGUUGACUACGAUACUAUCUUAUUUUUAGUUGACAAUAUCCAUAUAAUAAGGAGCUAAAAAUCAUAAAAGUUGGAGAUACAGCCGGAAAAAUGCCCCGUUUUGACGCCGCGCGCGCGGCACGCUAUUUCGAAGGCCGCGCGGCGGAGAUGCAAUUUUCAACUCAAAAGCCACAAGCCGCCGUGCAUCGGAGAACUCUGGGAAUGAUUCCAGGUGAAAGGCCAGAGAUCAAGGUUCAUUCAAGUGGUUGCACAAUUUUGCUACGUCAUUCCUGGCGGAAGUUAUGGGCCAGAGUAGGGAAACCUCCGAAAUUGACACAAAAGGGACAUAUCCUGGGCAGAUCAGCGGAAACAGCAAAAUAGAGACUUGUCAAAACUGCUCACCAGAGACAAGGCUGCAGACACCGAGACAACAGAUCAAGUUUUGACACGACAUGUUCCAGGAGUUGCAAUAAUUGGUGACGAACAUUGAAAGUUAUUUGAUCUUAUUGUUUUGAUUUUUAAAGAAGAAAAGCUAAGUUAAGAGAAACUGAAUAGAAAAGCAACCUACUAAUAAUAAUCAGAAAGUUACUUGAACUAAACAGUUAUUUUUUAGAAUGGGUAAAACAUGUAUGCAUACUAAUUAGCACUUACUAUUACUAAUGUCAUUAAUUACGAUGUUAAUUAGGACAACUGCUAAUUAAGCAUUUGAUUGUUAAAAGUUCUUAAAAGUAACAUGUAAUUUACAUCUGUACAACCCAUUUAAGUAUGCCUACAACAUAAAUGUGAUUAAAAGCCAAUGUGUGGAUAGUUUUCACCAUAUAUGUAUCAUUAGCAUAUUGCUAAUUAGCAUAAAUUCUUAAUUAUUUAUUGAUGUUCCUAAAAGUGUGGAUACAUUCCUGUACUUACGUCAACAUGCAAUAUAGGUUAGCACUGUCUAGUUUUAUUUCAGGGAACAUGUAUUCAAAUAGGGACAAGUGAUACAAUUAUAUGUGUUGUUGGAAGUACUUGAGGGUAAUAACCCUCAUUUGCAUAUUUUGUAAUUAAUGAAAACUACAAAAAUACUUCAUUUUUUAAAUGAUUAGUCUUACUUUGAAUUAGAAACGUGAAGUUCUUUCUUAAGCUUGUAGCAUGUUUAAGAAAUGCAGAUUAAUUGAAUGGUACUAUUGUGGAUGAGUAGAUUAAUUAGCGUUAAUUAGGAUUAAUUAAUACAAAGUAAUGAUGAUAUGUCGAGAAAACAAUAUUAUAGUCUGUCCAGUAAUAUUAUCUUCAUGUGCUGAAAAUUUGAAGAACAUUUGUUAAAGCGUUCGGAAGAUACAUUAAAAAGUGUGUAAAUAACUGUGUGCUUGUGGUCAUUUUCGGUGCCAUGUCGAGGUCAACUGUUCCCAUAGGGCUAAUAGAUAAGCCUCUUCUAAUAGAAACGUCCAACUUUUCAACUUUGAAAAAUUCUAGAAAAUUUUAACAUUGUCGGAUUUCAACGCAAUAAAAAGCAUUGUAAUCAGAGGAAUCUGAUCUGUAAUUUGAAAGCAGUUUCAGCAACUUUGACCUUAACCAAAAUUUUGGUGUGACAUGCCUACUAGUAUGUCGCUGUGGCUUAUAGCAUGCCCGCAGUCCCCGCCACGGCCAAUGGAAUGUUUGUAGAAUAUGUCCAAGCUUUCAAGUUUGGUGUGAUUCUUUUUUUUUUACAUGUUGGCCGGUUGUUUGAUAUCUUUCUCCUCUUUCCUAGCUCCCCCUUUUCCGCUAUGGAAUAACCCAUGGUCGCUGGCCAAUGGGCUGCCUAGUAUUCAUAUUGCGUAAUGCAGAUGAAACGUAAACCAAGCUGAUUACGAACACAGCAGUCAUUUCGCUGCCAGACAGAGGGGAGACAACACGUGUCUGGGACCGGUCUCUGAUGAUUAAUAACAACUGCCCCCACGAAGUCAACGCACUCACCAGCACCUCGGGGCUCAUCAUAAAGAUAAACAAGAUCAAAAGAAGUACAACUAUAAUACUUGCAGUGGAAAGGAAACAUCUCAUCAUCAUUGACUUCUUAUUCUAUUUCUUAUCACUUUUAUAAUUCUUAUUCAAAAGCGAAUCAACAUUUUGAAAUAUUUCCAAUAUUUCGUUGGGCUAAAGGGUUCAGGUACAGGUUAAUAUGUGUGGGUCCCUGAUCUUUGCACAGGUCGGGCAAAUGAGAUCCACACGAAUUCAAGGGACGUCGGUGGCUUUCACUGAAAGACGAACUGUAUCACUGAAGGGAAGGACAUCCGUGUGCAAAUUGCUACAAGAGGAUCGAGGCUGAGAGCCAUAUGCAAAACCCGAAACAACGUCGCCCGAAGGAGCAAGGCCAUGAGAGGGAAAUGCCAGACCGACAGCAGAGCCGCGGGCGGUCAACCGAUUGUGCUGCUUUUGAGGGAAAAACUGAGUGCAGUUAGAGAAUUCAUGGACUGACGUACACGUACUAUCUGCGUUAUUUGACUUAUACGAAUACGUGUUGUCUAUUCUAUUAGGUCAUAUUUAGUCAUGUAAAAAAAUAAUUCAAUUCAUCUAGACAACGAUGGAUAUACGAAUGGUGGACAUCCUAACCAAACGUAUAUGAAAACUUUAUUGACACGACAAAAGUACAGCGACUUUCGUGAGGAUUAUAACAACUAUUUACAGUACAGCUAAGCAGACGUAUGUGCAUAUUUACAGAUAUGAAUAAGUGAACAUGUUGUUUCUAGCAUGUCAUUUACAUAAUUCGAACAUUGCCUGCAAAUGUCUUGAGUUACAAACGAACUUUUACCAAUCUAACGUUUGCGGGAGUUUCUCAACG